rnacentral:lncRNA from 1 species
AUUCUUUUUUUUUUUGUUCUUAUAUAUAUAUAUAUAUAUAUAUAUAUAUAUAUAGUUUUAAAUCCGAGUUUUUCUUUUCCUCUCGAGACGCGCCUGUUCGAUUGCGUAGUUUACAUGCUUUCCUUAUCGCCGGGCUAACUCAAUCGAAGUGGAAUCCUCGCGACUCCUUUCAUGAAUAUGUGAUUUAGAGGAAGGAAAUAGCCCAUUUUCUGGUUGUGCGGGCGGAUGCUGCUCUCCCUCCUCACGUCGAGAUGCUGAUUUGGCGUUGAUGACCGUUGGUGUUCAAUUUUUUUUUCUUCUUUUUAUUUUUUUUAAGCUCUGUGUUUCUUUUAAGACUCCACUUCCCCUUAUUCGCCUCUAACUAAUCGAUAACCGAGCAGGAAAUUUAAUAGGAAGAAAGUUACGCUAUGGGACAAAGUAAAUUAGGAUGUUUUGAUAUCAGAGAAGGGGACGAAGAAGAAGAAGAAGAAAAAAAAAAGCUAUUUUCCAACAAAACAGCUAUUGAUCACGAAGAGAUUUUUAAAAAGUGCAACAGCUAACAUUGCUAGUUAACAUUAAAAAAACUACCCCUAAUAGCAUUUAAAAAUGAGAUUUAGUUUGCUAUUGUCGUUAAAACCCAAAAUAAAACUUAAAAAAAAAAAAAAGGAACGAAACUAUUUAAAAUUUACGAAAGGAAAAGAUCAAUUAGUGAAAAUUCUGUUCGUCUCUAUUAAAAGAAUAAAGAAACAAUAUCAUGGUUUUCGUAUUAAAAUCUGCUCGGAACUGUCACUUCUCAACAUGGCAGUUAAUUUGUCACGUGUCUUCUUUUAAUUACUACUUUUUAUUGUCUGUCUGUUUACUCGCUUCUGAUGUAUUGUCGCUUCUUUAAUGCAAUCUAAUUACUGUUGAGACGUUCUUAGAGAAAAGACAUCUCGGUUCGUUUAGGGAAAUCAUGUAGAAUGCGCCUCUUAAAGAAAAUGGUAGCGCGAAUUAAUUAAGAUGAAGAAACCAAAGUAUAACUCGACGAAUUAAAUGUCAUGCGGGAACUAAAUUCUGCAUAAAAGUUCCAAUUUUUAUUAUUUUUUUUUUUUCGGUUAUUCAUUUUAACCGCGUACCAACUUUUGACGUCGUUUAAGUUCAGGUGUUCCUAGAAUAUCUUUUUAAUGAAAAUGCAGAAUCCCUGCAGAAAUAGUACAUACUGUAUAUACAUAUAUGUAUACAUAGAGUGCCAUUGUUAGUCUCAUUACAACAACUAAGCAUAGGGUUGACCGAAACAGCUGCAGUUUCAUGCAAAACAGCUUCCGUUUUACAAAUGGCCAACUGGUUAAAAGCAAAAAUUUGAAGAGCGAAUUCAUUCAAGUGGCUCUCUGCUUGCUUGUUCAUUUCAUCCCCUUCUCUCCCUUCCAACUCUUCUACUGUACUCUCUCUCCUAUUCCCUCUACCCCUUUUGUAUAGGGUAAACUUUGAAUAGGACCCUAUUCUCUUUCUACAAUACAAUACUGCAUAUAUCAUACAGAUAGAUAUUAUUCAAUAUUUACCAUAAAAUAUAU